CUGCGCCUCCGAGGCCGGAGGUUUGGAUAACGCAGAAGGUACCGCUUACAGCCUGUCUCCGCCUCUCAGGAUACGGACUGCGGAAAUUGUGAGAUUUCAGUCUGAAAACUGAGUGACCUGAAACCCGUCCCAUUAGUUGAAACUCUUACCUUGGGUUCUUAGUUCCACGACCAGGGAUUGAACCCUGUGCCCCCUCUGCUGGAAGCAUGGAAUCUAAGCACUGGACCCCCAGAGUACACCCAUGUGAAAUGGCGGGCUGGAUGAAGCACAAACUGGAAUCAAGAUUGCCAGGAGAAAUAUGAAUAACCUCAGAUAUGCAGAUAACACCAUCCUUAUGGCAGAAAGUGAAGAGGAACUUGCUAAAGAGCCUCUUGAUGAAAGUGAAAGAGAGUGAAAAAGUUGACUUAAAACUCAACAUUCAAGAAACGAAGAUCAUGGCAUCCAGUUCCAUCACUUCAUGUCAAAUAGAUGGGGAAACAAUGGAAACUGUGAGAGGCUUUAUAUUGGGGGGCUCCAAAAUCACUGCAGAUGGUGACUGCAGCCAUGCCAUAAAAUUAGAAGACGCUUGCUCCUUGGAAGAAAAGCUAUGACCAACCUAGACAGCCUAUUAAAAUAUUAAAAAGCAAAGACAUUACUUUGCUGACAAAGGUCCAUCUAGUCAAAGCUAUGGUUUUUCCAGUAGUCAUGUAUGGAUGUGAGAGUUGGACUAUAAAAAAAGCUGAGCGCUGAAGAAUUGAUGCUUUUGAACUGUGGUGCUGGAGAAGACUCUUGAGAGUUCCUUGGACUACAAGGAAAUCCAACCAGUCCAUCCUAAAGGAAAUCAGUCCUGAAUAUACAUUGGAAGGACCAAUGCUGAAGCUGAAACUCCAAUACGCUGGCCACCUGAUGUGAAGAACUGACUUCUUGGAAAAGACCCUGAUGCUGGGAAAGAUUGAAGGCAGGAGGAGAAGGGACAACAGAGGAUGAGAUGGUUGGAUGGCAUCACUGACUCGAUGGACGUGAGUUUGAGUAAACUCCAGGAGUUGGUGAUGGACAGGGAGGCCUGUGGUGCCAGGGAGGUCAGUGUGGUUGCUAAGAGUCGGACAUGACUGAGUGACUGAACCAAACUGAUCUUGAAGUGAUAUUUUACCACUUUACAAGUGAGAAUGUUACCAUGGUAUACUUUCAUUUCUUCUCAGUCUUUGUGUUAUUGUUGUCAUACAUUUGCUUCCAUACGUGUUAUAAACUACAUACCACAUAACCAUUUUUUGAUGUCAGUAGUGAUUUGUCUGUGAAAUAACUUUAAAACUAAGAAAAUUUAUAUUUAUCCACAUAUUUUCCAUUUCUAGUGUUUUUCUUUUGUUUUUAAUAGAUUCAUUUCCAUCUGGUAUCAUUCUAUCCAAAGUAUUAUCUUAGAAAGCAAAUCUUUUGGUGGUGAAAUCUUUUGCAUUUUGCAAGUCUAAAUAGUAUUUGGCUCUAGUUUAAAAAAUUGUGGUAAAAAACCGUAUUACUAAAUUUACCAUGUUAAAAAAAAAUUCACCAUGUUAACCACCUUAAAGUGUAUAGUUUAGUAGUGUUAAGUAUGUUCACAUUGUUAAGCAAUAGAUCUCUAGAACUUUUUCAUUUUGCAACCCUGAAACUCUGUACCCACUAGAUGCUAAUUACUCCUCUUCACUCCCCUCAGCCCUUGGUAACCACCUUUCUGCUUUCUGUUUCUAUAAGUUUGACUACUUUGUAUACUUAAUGUGAGUGGAAUCAUACAUUAUUUGUCCUUCUGUGACUGAUGUAUUUUAUUUAGGACAGUGUUCCUGAGUUUUAUCCAUUUUAUAGCAUGUGACAGGAUUUCUGUCCUUUUUUAAGAGUGAAUAAUAUUACAGUUUGGGGCUUCCCUGAUGGCUCAGACAGUAAAGAAUCUGCCUGCAGUUUUAAAGACCUAGGUUCGAUCCCUGGGUUCGGAAGAUCCCGUGGAGAAGGAAAUGACAACCCACUCCAGUAUUCUUUCCUGGGAAAUCCCAUGGACAGAGGAGCCUGGCAGGCUACAGUCCAUGGGGUCACAAAGAGUCAACACAACUGAAUGACUAACACUUUAGCUUCACUUUCAGUAUUACAGUUUAUGAAUAUAUAUGUGUGUGUGUAUGCAUAUAUCACAGUAUCUUUUUUUAAAUUAUUUAUUUUGACUGUGUUGGGUCUUCAUUGCUGCAUGUCGGUUCUUCGCUGAGGUGUGUGGGUUUCCCUAGUUGCUACUCAUGGGCUUAGUUGCUGUAUGUGGGAUCAUAGCAUCACUGACUCAAUGGACGUGAAUUUGAGCAAACUCUGGGAAACUGUGAAGGACAGGGAAGCCUGGCUUGCUGCAGUCCAAGAGGUUGCAAAGAGUUGGACAUGACUUAGUGACUGAAUGACAACAAUAUGUCCCUACACAGAGAUCUCCCCUGGACCCCCUACACUGGGAGCACAGAGUACUGGGCCACCAGGGAAGUCACUACACCACAAUUUCUUUAUCCAUUCAUCUUUUGAUGGAUGUUUGGGUUGCUUCACUUGGUUGUUGUGAAUAAUGUUGUGAUGGAUAUUGGUGUAUAAAUAUCUCCUCAGCAUCUUACUCUGAAGUCUGUUGAGCUAUAUACCUGGAAGUGAUGUUGGUAAGAGAGUAAACCUUAAAAGUUCCCAUUCCUAGAAAAAAAAUUAUACAUGUACGUGGUGAUGGAGGUUAACUAGACUUAUUGUGGUAAUCAUUUUGAAACAUAUACAUGUAUUAAAUCAUUAUGUUGUGUACCUGAGACUAAUGUGAUGUUGUAUGUCAAUUAUGUCUUUUUUAGAACUUUUUUUAGCUGAAAUAUAGUUUACAAUGUUUCAGGUGUACAGUGAAUGAUUCAGUCAUACAUAUAAAUACAUAUAUGCUCUUUUUCAGAUGCUUUUCUACUAUAGUUUAUUACAAGAUAUUGAAUAUGACUCCUUGUGCUCUGCCGUAGGUCUUCAUUGUCUGUCUGUCUUAUAUGUAGUAGUGUGUGUCUGUUAAUCCAGAAUUCCUAAUUUAUCCUCCCCUUCUUCCCUCUUUGGUAACCAUAAGUUUGUUUUUUAUGUCUGUGAGUCUAUUUCUGUUUUGUAGAUAAGUUCAUUUGUAUCAUUUUUUUGGGUUCCACAUAGAAGUAAUAUCAUAUGAUAUUUGUCUUUCUGUUUCUGACUUGACUUCGUAUGAUAAUAAUGAUACUAUCAAUUUUGUCGUAAUGAAAAAAGAAACCAAAAUGUAAAUACAUGAUUAAAACUUUGUUUUUUGCCUUAAAAUACAAAUACAUAGGAGUUUCUGUGUGCAAAGAGGGAAACAAAUAAAAACUGUUUUUGUCAGCUGUGGUGAAUGUGACUUCUAUGUAACUCGCCAUAGAAAGGGUGGAGGGUCAGAGGAGAGGUAAGUCUUGCAGUUGGGUAUACUCAGCAAGGACAUGCAGGAGGGUCCAUGGUGCUUUGCUUCUGCCAGCAAUGAUGUGAAUUGGUUCA